CUGCGAAUAUUCUCGCUGUUCUGAUUUUGUAAUAAUCAGGGCAGGCUAAACAUUCACUAUAUUAAGACCAUGCAUGUGUCCCCAGACCUAGUUCUUUUCCUAGGUCUGGUUUUAUAAAUGCUGGUGAUAAAC
rnacentral:snoRNA from 1 species